rnacentral:rRNA from 1 species
GAUGAACGCUAGCGGCAGGCCUAACACAUGCAAGUCGAGGGGCAGCACAGAAACAGCAAUGUUUUGGUGGCGACCGGCGGACGGGUGCGUAACGCGUAUGCAACCUACCUUUAACAGGGGGAUAACGGAGAGAAAUGUCCACUAAUACCCCAUAACAUCGAUCAAGGCAUCUUGAUUGGUUGAAAACUCCGGUGGUUAAAGAUGGGCAUGCGUUGUAUUAGGUAGUUGGUGAGGUAAUGGCUCACCAAGCCUACGAUACAUAGGGGGACUGAGAGGUUAGCCCCCCACACUGGUACUGAGACACGAACCAGACUCCUACGGGAGGCAGCAGUGAGGAAUAUUGGUCAAUGGGGGCAACCCUGAACCAGCCAUGCCGCGUGCAGGAAGACGGCUCUAUGAGUUGUAAACUGCUUUUAAACAGGGAUAAAGCACAGUAUGUAUACUGUGUUGAAGGUACUGUAAGAAUAAGGAUCGGCAAACUCCGUGCCAGCCGCCGCCGUAA